CAGCAGGCGCGAAAACUUUGCAAUGCGGGAAACCGUGACAAGGGAACUCUGAGUGCCCGUUAAAUCGGGCUGUCCAUCGGUUUAAAUAACCGGUGAAGAAAGGGCCGGGCAAGACCGGUGCCAGCCGCCGCGGUAAUACCGGCGGCUCGAGUGGUGGCCACUAUUACUGGGCUUAAAGCGUUCGUAGCUGGUUUGUUAAGUCUCUGGGGAAAUCUUCCGUCUUAACCGGAAGGCGUCUCAGGGAUACUGGCAAACUAGGGACCGGGAGAGGUGAGAGGUACUCCAGGGGUAGGAGUGAAAUCCUGUAAUCCUUGGGGGACCACCUGUGGCGAAGGCGUCUCACCAGAACGGCUCCGACAGUGAGGGACGAAAGCUGGGGGAGCAAACCGGAUUAGAUACCCGGGUAGUCCCAGCUGUAAACGAUGCGCGUUAGGUGUAUCGGUGACCACGAGUCACCGAGGUGCCGAAGAGAAAUCGUGAAACGUGCCGCCUGGGAAGUACGGUCGCAAGGCUGAAACUUAAAGGAAUUGGCGGGGGAGCAC
rnacentral:rRNA from 1 species